rnacentral:misc_RNA from 1 species
GAUGAAGAACGCAGCGAAAUGCGAUAAGUAAUGUGAAUUGCAGAAUUCAGUGAAUCAUCGAAUCUUUGAACGCACAUUGCGCCCGCCGGCACUCCGGCGGGCAUGCCUGUCCGAGCGUCACUUCAACCCUCAGGCCCGAACCCCCCCGGGGGGGGCGGGCCUGGUGUUGGGGCUCGGGGUCCGCGAGGCCCCCGUCCCCUAAAUCCAGUGGCGGUCGCGCCGCACCCUCCCCUGCGUAGUAGCACACCUCGCACCGGAGAGCAGCGCGUCCACGCCGUGAAACCCCCAACUUACCAAGGUUGACCUCGGAUCAGGUAGGAAUACCCGCUGAACUUAAGCAUAUCAAUAAGCGGAGGA